AAGAGAAGAGCUUAUUAAGUUAGCCAUGGUGACCUGCCUGAAACCAAGAAAGAAAGGACACCACAAUAAAUAUAUAUAUAUAUAUAUAUAUAUUAAUGAGCUUUCCAAAAUGGUGCAGGCAAGUCAUCCUUGGCUACCAAAUAAGACUCCUUUCA
rfam:Nicotiana sylvestris Nsyl_contig136766, whole genome shotgun sequence.